rnacentral:rRNA from 1 species
GAUGAACGCUGGCGGCGUGCCUAAUACAUGCAAGUCGAGCGAACAGACGAGGAGCUUGCUCCUCUGUCGUUAGCGGCGGACGGGUGAGUAGCACGUGGAUAACCUACCUAUAAGACUGGGAUAACUUCGGGAAACCGGAGCUAAUACCGGAUAAUAUAUUGAUCCGCAUGGUUCAAUAGUGAAAGACGGUUUUGCUGUCACUUAUAGAUGGAUCCGCGCCGCAUUGGCUAGUUGGUGAGGUAACGGCUUAUCAAGGCAACGAUGCCUAGCCGACCUGAGGGGGUGAUCGGCCACUCUGGGGCUGAGACACGAUCCAGGGACCGAGGGGAGGCAGCAGUAGGUAAUCUAGCGAGAUGGGCGAAAGCCUGACGGAUCGGCGCCGCGUGGGUGAUGAAGUCUUCGGAUCGUGAAGCUCUGUUAUGAGUGAAGAACAAAUGUGUAAGGAGCUGUGCACUUCGUGACGGUACCUAAUCAGGAAGCCACGGCUAACUACGUG